AGAACGAACGCUGGCGGCAUGCCUAACACAUGCAAGUCGAACGCGUGUAGCGAUACACGAGUGGCGGACGGGUGAGUAACGCGUGGGAACCUGCCCUGGAGUGUGGGAUAACCUAGGGAAACCUGGGCUAAUACCGCAUAACACCUACGGGUCAAAGGAGCAAUUCGCUUAAGGAGGGGUCGCGGCAGAUUAGCUAGUUGGCGGGGUAAUGGCCCACCAAGGCAGUGAUCUGUA
rnacentral:rRNA from 1 species